GAAAAAAGAGCACUGAAGUUUGCAGUGCCUCGAUUUUGGAGGAAACCAGGUUAUCAUCUUUGAAAUAUUUGAAUUUUUUCCAAAGCUUUCAGAGGCGAAAAUAAAUAUGGGAACUUUUUAUGCCGGUAGUCAGCGAGCAAUCUCUAGUCUUUAAUAGAGACUCAUCCAUGGCGAAAUCUAUUUAGAGCCUGUUUGGUAUUCAGUCGAUAGUGUCUCAUCUCUAAUUGAGCAAUAUCAGUCUCUAAUUUGUUAUUUACGUUAAACCAGGUCACAAAAAAAAAGAGCGAAAAAAUGGAGGAUGCAAUUGGGCUAAUAUAUAUCGUAAUGAAAAAACGAGACGAAGAAAACAAUUCAUUUUAGCUCUAUAUUUUUUACGCAAUGGCUCAUACCAGUGUUGCGUGUGUUGGAAAUGGAUAUUUCUCGGUGAUAAAUCUAGCGUUUCUCGUAGUAUUGAACAAAUUUGUAAAUGGUUGAAGAUACAAUAGAGUUAAGACUGGGUAAGUUGUUGUCCAAACGACACAACAGUCACCGACGCAAAACCGUGGACCGAAUCAGCUGAUACAACCUAUCUUAUGAGAGCGCAAUAUAAAUGAACAGUCACCACCGCUUCUACCGUCCGUUUCAACAGACCGUACGGUAGGAUAUCCGCGAAAAUUGGAUUUUUUCAGUAGAAACGAGUGAGCUGAGAGCGAGAGGGCAAUCUCUUGCAACGCAGGGUUGCCAAUCUCCAUAUUUUGUAGUAAUUAAAAAAUGAACAUGAAUAUAUUUGAAAUAGUCUUAAAAUAACUCAAAAUCACAGUCGAAUACGCUUAUGUAUAAAUAGGUAACCUAUUUUUAGCAGUUGGAUUUUAGUUUUAAGCUUCUACAUAAUAAAAAAUUAUAACUAAAAAACUAAAUGUGUGAAAAAUCGUGUAUACAAAUAGAAGAACAGCAACAUUGGUGAAAUGAAAACAAAAGAGAACAACUGAUUUCUGCGUUGCACUACAGGGAGGAAUGUCGGUGACUGUUUGUGGGUGUAGUUAGAGAAAUUGAUUGCACUCAUGUUGGCAUAAUUGCACCUGCCUCGUCAACCACAGUUGUGCCACAUGAUUACAUGAAUAGAAAAGGGUAUUACAGCAUUAAUGUUGAAGCGGUUUGCGUGAAUGCAAGAUUUCCGGGCUCAUGGCAUAACUCCAAUAUAUGGACAACUUCACCAGUAUGGAUAAAGCUUAUAAGAGAACACUCUUAUGAGCCUUUAAAUGGCUUUUGAGUGAUUCAGGAUAUUCAUUGGAGCUAUGGCUUCUUUCACUGGUGACAAAUACAAAUGAGCAAGAAACACUAUAGAAAGAGCAUUUGGAGUUUUAAAAUCACAUUUUCGUUGCAUUUCAAAAGAACGUACUCUGCAGUACAAACAUUCAAAAACUGCAUUAUUUAGAUAGAGCUGAUUAAUAUGAUAAGCUGAUCACUGACAGGAUUACGAUUUUCUUCUGUCAUUGGAUGUAAUGUCUCUAAAGAUUCACAUUUUUACACUCUUAUAUAGAUUAAAUUUAAAGAUAAUAUGGGAACUUUCUCGACAGAACAAGGAGAACAGCUCAUCAAGCUUAUAAUAGAAUUUAAGAGAAGUUACCAAGGCCAGUAUACAGUAUUGGGGACUAUAUUUCCGGUUUACUAAGAGAAACUUCCACAGACCAUAACAGGAAAGUUAAAACUGUUAAUUUUCAA